UACAGAGGUCCCAAGCGUUGUUCGGAUUCACUGGGCGUAAAGGGUGCGUAGGUGGUGAGGUAAGUCGGAUGUGAAAUCUCCAGGCUCAACCUGGAAAUGGCAUCGGAAACUACCUUGCUCGAGGUUUGGAGGGGGGACUGGAAUACUUGGUGUAGCAGUGAAAUGCGUAGAUAUCAAGUGGAACACCAGUGGCGAAGGCGAGUCCCUGGACAACACCUGACACUGAGGCACGAAAGCUAGGGGAGCAAACAGG
rnacentral:rRNA from 1 species